AGUUUGAUCCUGGCUCAGGAUGAACGCUAGCUACAGGCUUAACACAUGCAAGUCGAGGGGCAGCAUCAUCAAAGCUUGCUUUGAUGGAUGGCGACCGGCGCACGGGUGAGUAACACGUAUCCAACCUGCCGACAACACUGGGAUAGCCUUUCGAAAGAAAGAUUAAUACCGGAUGGCAUAGUUUUCCCGCAUGGGAUAAUUAUUAAAGAAUUUCGGUUGUCGAUGGGGAUGCGUUCCAUUAGGCAGUUGGCGGGGUAACGGCCCACCAAACCAACGAUGGAUAGGGGUUCUGAGAGGAAGGUCCCCCACAUUGGAACUGAGACACGGUCCAAACUCCUACGGGAGGCAGCAGUGAGGAAUAUUGGUCAAUGGACGAGAGUCUGAACCAGCCAAGUAGCGUGAAGGAUGACUGCCCUAUGGGUUGUAAACUUCUUUUAUACGGGAAUAAAGUUAGCCACGUGUGGCUUUUUGUAUGUACCGUAUGAAUAAGGAUCGGCUAACUCCGUGCCAGCAGCCGCGGUAAUACGGAGGAUCCGAGCGUUAUCCGGAUUUAUUGGGUUUAAAGGGAGCGUAGGCGGGUUGUUAAGUCAGUUGUGAAAGUUUGCGGCUCAACCGUAAAAUUGCAGUUGAUACUGGCGACCUUGAGUGCAACAGAGGUAGGCGGAAUUCGUGGUGUAGCGGUGAAAUGCUUAGAUAUCACGAAGAACUCCGAUUGCGAAGGCAGCUUACUGGAUUGUAACUGACGCUGAUGCUCGAAAGUGUGGGUAUCAAACAGGAUUAGAUACCCUGGUAGUCCACACAGUAAACGAUGAAUACUCGCUGUUGGCGAUAUACGGUCAGCGGCCAAGCGAAAGCAUUAAGUAUUCCACCUGGGGAGUACGCCGGCAACGGUGAAACUCAAAGGAAUUGACGGGGGCCCGCACAAGCGGAGGAACAUGUGGUUUAAUUCGAUGAUACGCGAGGAACCUUACCCGGGCUUAAAUUGCAACUGACUGAACCGGAAACGGUUCUUUCUUCGGACAGUUGUGAAGGUGCUGCAUGGUUGUCGUCAGCUCGUGCCGUGAGGUGUCGGCUUAAGUGCCAUAACGAGCGCAACCCUUAUCGAUAGUUACUAGCAGGUCAUGCUGAGGACUCUAUUGAGACUGCCGUCGUAAGAUGUGAGGAAGGUGGA
rnacentral:rRNA from 1 species